CCCUUAGAUGUUCUGGGCCGCACGCGUGCUACACUGAGUGGAUCAGCGGGUCAGGUUGCGCGAAAGUGUUUCCUAAUCUUGAAAUCCGCUCGUGAUGGGGAUUGACGGUUGCAAUUUUCCGUCAUGAACGAGGAAUACCUUGUAAGCGCGGGUCAUCAUCCCGCGCUGAAUACGUCCCUGCCCUUUGUACACACCGCCCGUCGCACCUACCGAUUGAAUGGUCCGGUGAGGCCUCGGGAUUGUGGCCAGUUUCCUUCAUUGGGAGUUGGCUGCGAGAACUUGUCCAAACCUUAUCAUUUAGAGGAAGGUGAAGUCGUAACA
rnacentral:rRNA from 1 species